UGGUGACAAGAUUGUCCUCUUUGGGGGUAC
rnacentral:piRNA from 1 species